rnacentral:rRNA from 1 species
CAGUAGCCACGGGAAUACGGAGGGUGCAAGCGUUAAUCGGAAUUACUGGGCGUAAAGCGCACGCAGGCGGUUUGUUAAGUCAGAUGUGAAAUCCCCGAGCUUAACUUGGGAACUGCAUUUGAAACUGGCAAGCUAGAGUCUUGUAGAGGGGGGUAGAAUUCCAGGUGUAGCGGUGAAAUGCGUAGAGAUCUGGAGGAGUACCGGUGGCGAAGGCGGCCCCCUGGACAAAGACUGACGCUCAGGUGCGAAAGCGUGGGGAGCAAACAGGAUUAGAUACCCGAGUAGUCCCUGUCUCUUAUAC